rnacentral:rRNA from 1 species
UACGAAGGGGGCUAGCGUUGCUCGGAAUCACUGGGCGUAAAGCGCACGUAGGCGGAUCGCUAAGUCAGGGGUGAAAUCCUGGAGCUCAACUCCAGAACUGCCUUUGAUACUGGCAAUCUCGAGUCCGGGAGAGGUGAGUGGAACUGCGAGUGUAGAGGUGAAAUUCGUAGAUAUUCGCAAGAACACCGGUGGCGAAGGCGGCUCUCUGGACCGAGACUGACGCUGAGGCGCGAAAGCGUGGGGAGCAAACAGG